ACUUUACAAUGCGGGAAACCGUGAUAAGGGAACUCCGAGUGUCCGUCAAUGCGGACUGUCCGUAUGUUUAAAAAGCAUGCGAAGAAAGGGCCGGGCAAGACCGGUGCCAGCCGCCGCGGUAAUACCGGCGGCUCGAGUGGUGGCCACUAUUACUGGGCUUAAAGCGUUCGUAGCUGGGUUGUUAAGUCUCUUGGGAAAUCUACCGGCUUAACCGAUAGGCGUCCAAGGGAUACUGGCAAUCUAGGGACCGGGAGAGGUGAGGGGUACUUCAGGGGUAGGAGUGAAAUCCUGUAAUCCUUGGGGGACCACCUGUGGCGUAGGCGCCUCACCAGAACGGCUCCGACAGUGAGGGACGAAAGCUGGGGGAGCAAACCGG
rnacentral:rRNA from 1 species